rnacentral:tRNA from 1 species
CCUGGUGGCUCAGAUGGUAAAGAAUCUGCCUGCAACGCAGGAGACCCGGGUUUGAUCCCUGGGCCAGGA